rnacentral:sRNA from 2 species
AUAGUAAGUCAGCCUAAUCUAGCUACUGUAGAGCGGGGGAACCAAAUUUGGGGCUUAUCUCUAGACCAAAGUCAAGAGAAGGACAUCUCUCAGUCCUAGUCCGUCAGCUAACCUCGUAGGCAUAGAGAGAAGACUG